rnacentral:lncRNA from 1 species
CCCAGGACCAACUUGUUUACUGAUUGUUUUCACUUGGCACAACCAGUUAGCUAAACUUGCUUGACUAUAUGACCAGAGAGUCAUAAAAGACCCCACUGGGAAUUUACCUCCCGGUAGAUUAUCUCCUGAGGUCAAGAUUCAUUGUGCAGAUCUUGAAGGUUCAGUCUGGAGAGGAAGCCCUUGGAGAGCUAAGAAGGACCUUUUGGAGCUUGCGCAUGGGCUGUCUCUGGACCUCCAAUGCUUGCCUGCACUCUUCUCUUGCUGCACUGCAUGCAACCUCUGCCUGUGUAUUAAAGCCUUCUGUGACUCCGCCUUGUGGAUCCUGAAGAAUGAACUACGGAAUGCUGGCAACUCCCAGAAGCUGGAAGAGGCAAGGAGUGGACUUUCCCCUACAGCCCGCAGAGGGAGUGAGGCACCUGCCGAUGAAUUGAUUUUAGCCCAGUGGUACUGAUUCCAGACUUCUGGCCUCCAGAACGAUAAGAGAAUGAACUUCUGUUGUUUGAAGUCACCAAGUUUGUGGUAAUUUGUAACAACAGUCACAAGAAACUAAUACAAAAGGUAUAAAGCAACAUUUCUUUUGAGUAAAUGUUAGUUUUCGUGCUGAUUCCAAAUGCAAGUGUUAACAAAGGUAUGGUAAACUGCUUUUCAAAAUGAAAAUUUCAAUCAAAAUGAUGUGUCAUUGACAAAAUAAAUUUUCUUUUCAGAAACUUUCAUUUAUGAGUUCGAAUAUAACUAGUAAACAGAGUGCAUGAAGGCAUUUGACAAAAUCAUUUUGUUUACUGAGCUUUUUUUAAACUGAUGAAUCUUCUCAUAUGAAGUGUUUUGUUGAUCUGCCAGUGAGUUUUUUUUAAUUUGUCGAGCACAGUGAAACUGACUGAAUUAUCUAAUAAAAGAAUAAACCUUUUAAAAACAUCUCUUUUCUUUUGGUUUAAUAUCUACUGAUCCUACUUUUAUUCUGGACUUUUUCAAAACUAAUACCUGAUGGGGAAACAAAAUGUAUAACAUGAAUCUAAAUUCUAGCAAAACAGUCAGUUAUUAUUUAACAGCAUUUACCCUUAUAUAAAGUCUCUAAAAUGUGGCCUUCUAUCCAAAGAAGUGAUAGCAUUUAAAGGAAGACUUGUGGAAGUUUCGAGAAGCAAGAUUCUUGUAGCAACUACUGAAACAGGGAGAGUGGCUAACUGCCUGUUUUUCUAGAAACUUCUCAGUGUGGUGUGCUUGAUCUUGGUAAUAAAUAUGUGCCUAAAGUGGUGCAGUUUCAGAAGCCUGACUUUGUUGAUUACUCCCAGCGGAUCCAGUG